CACUCUCUCUCUCACACACACACACACAUGCACACACAAGUCCAUUUCAUAUACAUGUACAUACAUCUUUCACUUUCUCCUCUCUUUCGCUUUAAAACAAAAGUAAAUAAAUUUAAAAAAUUUACGGAAAUUAACAAACAGCAAUGACAUUUAUAUAUGGCUGUGAUUAAGAAGAACACUUUACAACCACAUGAUCUUGGGUUGAGUCCCACAGUGUGGCACCGUAGAGAAAUAUCAUCUACUACAGCUGCAGGCUGGAGUAGAUAUAAAUCUAACGAUGUUUUCCUCUGUUUACAUCACCACGAAAUGGGUUUCGCAAGACUAAUUUGGAUGCUUCCAGUUCAAGGUGUUGCCUGCAAUGACCAGAUAGAUGCAGCCAUCUUUGUUUGAUCUUCUCACUAACUUUCAGCAAGUCUCUAAAACGGCAUUCAUUUGUCACAUGUUGUUGCCAUCUGGAGCAAACACAGACAUACUUUUUCAGUCCCUCUCACCCUUGAUACAAUGAAAUAUGCAUGGUGUGACAGCUGACAGGAGAGAGGACUGUGCCAACAUUGGAGCAGUACCCAUUUUCAGUUACAUACACUGGAGCAAUGUAGAAUGAAGUGCCUUGCUCAAGGACACAAUGUAUCAUUCAGUGAGGAAAUAAAAUCUCCAAUCUCACAA